AUGCGGCGGCUGCCACUGGAGGAGAUCAAGUGGAUCCUUGCACAGCCGAACGAACCUGUCUGGGCUGAGAUCCGGGAGCUCAAGCGCGCCAACCCGUCGCUGCUGCCCACGCCGAAGGAGGAGAAGGAUGAGGCAGUGGUGCUGCUGUACGCAUGUGCCCGCGACUGCUAUGAGGACGAAGACAAGUUUGCGAGAUUCCUGGCCUGGGUCCGUAGCGAGUACGCCUCCAUGGGAUUCGUGGAGGUCGACUACGACUACUUCGGUGAGAGGGCCGAGGCGACGAGGCUAAGCAAGGAAGCGCGGGAGGAGGUGUUCGGAGACACCGACCUUUCUUCAGACAGCGAGGACGAUGAUGAGUUGAAGCUUCUCAAGAGGACAGUUAGGGGCUGGGUCUGA
rnacentral:rRNA from 1 species